GCAGACACAAAACUAACAAUAGUUACACACGAAAGAAUCCAUUAGAAAAAAAUCAAUACAAAUAAUUGGGAACACUUUCACGUUCACGCGGUCGUUGCUACGGACGCCUGGCUCGUUGCUAACAGGAACGAGGCAGAACUACUUCCUGGUCAAAGCAAACGGGUGUCCACGUGAAUUAUCAAAGUCUGCAAAGUAAGCGAAGCUCUCAUUGGUUUUUAUUCAAUCAUAUAUUGUGUAACUAUGAUUGAAUACUCUCACAGUCUGGCUAACCGACUGGUUACGGUCUUCAUUGGUUCAGACUUUCAGCUGCUAUUUGGCUCCUGUUAGCUAGCUAGCUGUAGCAUGCUUUACCAAGAGAGUGCUGAGAAUAACCGGUCCUCUCCGUGUUAUCACACUGGGUUUCUGUUGUUACAUAUCAGUUUGUAGUUAACGUCAGAGCAUCCAGAGCAGGUUAUAAUGGUGUAGCUGACACGUCUUAAGUCAAGUGUAGGUGCUAUGACAGUGGCACAGAGAGCAUGUUCAUGUGGUGAAGAUGAUGAUCACUUUGUGUUUCAGACGGAUUCCGAUGAGGACGUGAUCUUUGUUUCUGAAAAGUCUGCGCCUAAGUCCAGGGAAAUUACCUUUGACCAGGCGAAGUUACUGGCCCUGCAAAGAGACAUUGAUCAGGAGUCCCUACCCAAGCAGCCAGCCAAACCCCUGACAAGCCAAAGGUCUGUUGCUGUUGAGAGGCCAGAGGAAAAUGUGAAAAUGAAGACCAAAGAAGAAAAAUGUGAAGAGAAGCUUAUGAAAACAGCAAAGAAACACAAAAAAGGACAGACCUUUCUCCCUGAAAACAUGAACUGUGCUCUUGAUGAUGGGGGACUAGUAGAGGUAAAAAAAGGGAAAACAAAAACCAAAAAAGUUGAGACAGUGGUUAUAAAGGAGGAGUCUUGCGUUGGAGGUGGUGAAAAGGAAGUGAAGAAGGAAAAGAAGAAGCGGAAAAUUGUUAAUGAAUCUCUGAAUGAUGCCAAAAGUUCAGAUGCCAUAGAUGGAAAUGACAAAGGAGUCACCAAAAAGAAGAAAAAGAAGCUGUCUCAUGAUGAGGAUCAAGUGGAAACUGCACAUGAUUCAGUAAAAGAUGAAGAAGUGGAAAAAAAACAGAGGAAGGAGAAGAAAGCAAAAAAUAAAUCUCUUCCAAUCAAACAAGAAAGUGUAAAGCUAGAAAAAGAGGACAAAGAAGAGCAAGCUAUAAAGAAUGAAGUGCCAAAGAAAUCCAAGAAAGGAAAAAACAAUAUUUUAGUUGUGAACAAUGAAGAGACUGAGGUGCAAGUGAAAGAAAAGAAGAAGAAGAAAAAGGAAAUGACUGUAACUAUGGAUCAACCCACUGUAACUGAAAACAAAGCAAAAAUUGCUGAGAAUGGAGUGAAGUUUCAGGCAGAGGAGGAGAUUCAUGAGGUUAAAGUAAAAAAGAAGAAAAGGCAAGAAGUCAAAACUGAAGAGGAUGAAACCGAAAUAGAAACACCAGGAAUCAAAGACAACAACAAAAAGAGCAAAGCAUCAUCGGUGGAGGAUGACAACAGCAUGCUGAACAAGAAGAACAAAUCCACAAAGAAUGAGGUUGUUAUCACAGAGGAAGGCCAGACAAAAGUAAAGAGAAGAGGGAAAAAAGAAAAGGGGGAAAAAGCUUCUGAGGAGGUCAGCAAAACAGAGGAAACAGAACCAAAGAAGAAGAAAAGAAGAAAGGCAAACCCGAAGGGAGAGGAAGAAGAAUUGCUAUCAAUGAAAGUCAAAGUAGUCCCCCGGAAGGACAAGCAGAGCACAGAAAGUCCUGUGACAGUGGCCGGAAACACAAACAGCAAGAAAACUAAAAAGAUAAAGAGCUCUGUUCAGGUUGAGAAUGAUGUCAGAGUUGGAACUGGGGAAAAGAAGAAGAAGAAGAUCAAAGAAGAGAAGGUGGAAGAUUUACAGGAGUCUCCCCAAGUGGAUGUGGUGUUCCUGUCAGAAAAGAGCGGAAACAAAGAUGAGAUCACCAUCAAUCAGAAGUACAAUGUCUCCUGGCUGUAG
ensembl:lncRNA